UCGAGAAUCUUCGGCAAUGGGGCAACCCUGACCGAGCGACGCCGCGUGCGAGAUGAAGGCCUUCGGAUUGUAAACUCCUGUCAUCCGGGAGUAAGACCUGACGGUGAACAGCCGGCAGGGUUGAUAGUACCGGAAGAGGAAGGGACGGCUAACUUCGUGCCAGCAGCCGCGGUAAUACGAAGGUCACAAGCGUUGUUCGGAAUCACUGGGCGUAAAGGGUGAGUAGGCGGUCUUGCAAGUCGGGCGUGAAAUCCCGGGGCUCAACCCCGGAACUGCGCUUGAGACUGCAAGGCUAGAGGAUCGGAGAGGAGACUGGAAUUCUCGGUGUAGCAGUGAAAUGCGUAGAUAUCGAGAGGAACACUCGUGGCGAAGGCGAGUCUCUGGACGAUUCCUGACGCUGAGGCACGAAGGCCAGGGUAGCGAAAG
rnacentral:rRNA from 1 species